AUCCUUUCGGCAGCUUAUAUACUAAAAUUGGAACAGUACAGAGAAGAUUAGCAUUGCCCCUGCGCAAGGAUGACAUGCAAAUAAGUAAAUAAGUAAGUAAGUAA